AGGGGAAUAUUGCACAAUGGAGGGAACUCUGAUGCAGCGACGCCGCGUGAACGAAGAAGGCUUUCGAGUCGUAAAGUUCUUUUAUAUGGGAAGAUAAUGACGGUACCAUAAGAAAAAGCCCCGGCUAACUACGUGCCAGCAGCCGCGGUAAUACGUAGGGGGCUAGCGUUGUCCGGAAUCACUGGGCGUAAAGGGUUCGCAGGCGGAAAUGCAAGUCAGGUGUAAAAGGCAGUAGCUUAACUACUGUAAGCAUUGGAAACUGCAUAUCUUGAGAAGAGUAGAGGUAAGUGGAAUUUUUAGUGUAGCGGUGAAAUGCGGAGAUAAUAAAAAGAAUACCGGUGGCGAAGGCGGCUUACUGGGCUCAUUCUGACGCUGAGGAACGAAAGCGUGGGUAGCAAACAGG
rnacentral:rRNA from 1 species